AUGAACGCUAGCUACAGGCUUAACACAUGCAAGUCGAGGGGCAGCAUGUCGGUUGCUGCAACCGAUGAUGGCGACCGGCGCACGGGUGAGUAACGCGUAUCCAACCUGGCCCGCAGUAGGGAACAGCCCGGCGAAAGUCGGAUUAAUGCCCUAUGUCUUCCUUUGCAGGCAUCCAAUGAGGAAGAAAGAUUUAUCGCUGCGGGAUGGGGAUGCGUCUGAUUAGCUUGUCGGCGGGGUAACGGCCCACCGAGGCUACGAUCAGUAGGGGUUCUGAGAGGAAGGUCCCCCACACUGGUACUGAGACACGGACCAGACUCCUACGGGAGGCAGCAGUGAGGAAUAUUGGUCAAUGGGCGAGAGCCUGAACCAGCCAAGUAGCGUGCAGGAACCGACUGCCCUAUGGGUUGUAAACUGCUUUUAUGCGGGGAUAAACUUCAGCACGUGUGCUGUUUUGCAGGUACCGCAUGAAUAAGGACCGGCUAAUUCCGUGCCAGCCGCCGC
rnacentral:rRNA from 1 species